rnacentral:ncRNA from 1 species
GGGACCUGUACUCGUUGCGGCGCAACGAUGGCUAA